GUUAUCUGGUGUGCGUUGCAGCGAUACGUCAUAGUGUUCGAAAAUUAGGCAGCAGUAAAGUCGCAAUCAUGUGCAAGGCUGUUAUAGAUUGUAAUGAAAUAAUGAAGGAUUGGAAGAGUGUGAGAAGACGAUGAGCAAACGGCCUUCAAUUCAUUGAAAUGGUGUGAGUCAUUGGCGCUGCUUCAUGAAAUCCAUGCUGAACGCCACCAGAAAGAGGCUUUGGUUCAGGAUUCACACUCGUUUCCUGCUCCUCGAUACGUUAAUGGCAACGAUGAGGAGGAAUGGAAUACUUGAACAAGCAACCACAACGUCAACAGCCUGAAGCUGAAACCGAAACCCAAACGAAAUGCCUUAAAAUGGCUUAUAAAGAAGUUACGUCGAUCGACGAUGGUUUGUUAUUGAGUUACUGAGUGAGUCUUCACGUCUGUCCGUGUCUUCCCCAACCUCAACGCUUGGCAGCGAGUUCCGUAAACCAGCCGAUGGCCGAUUCUACACAGAUCGCCGGAGCAGCGAGCAGCAGCAGCAAACACCACCGAGUCUCCCCUGCAUGACAUGCCAAUGCCACAGGCAGCUGACAAAGAACAAUGGGGACAAGGCGGAAUUGCGAGCGGCAGCAGCUCCAGCUCAUCAGCUUACGUGUGAUUGAAGCUCUCGUGCCCAUGUCGGUGCUGAAUUCACCAGCUACCACGACAUUUCUACAUAGAACGCUUCGCAGUUGCUGACCACACCACCCACCCAUCCACACAGAUACACGGUAUUUGGUAUAUCAGCUGCGAACGAAAAAUAUUGCUUUUUGAACAGAUUUACAGCGAAAAAGCACCAAGGAGUAACAAUCAUCCAGAAACUAAACUCCCACUGUCUUCGAACCCUGCAAACCCGACGCAUCGGAACUACGCCGCAAUCUCUAAAUUUCAGCCAUCUAAAAUACAUCGCCGUCUUCGGAUCUCGAGGGACAGGGACUUCAGUUGAAUUCUCGCAUGUAAGCCGUAUGGGAUUUUUCUUGUGAUUAACACUUGAAUUGCAGCCAUCAGUAUUAGCCAAGCGGUCGCCCAUAUUGACAUUCUUAGUGUAUGCUGUGGUACUCUGCACGCUCAGCCCGUCCUGUUUCACUUGGGGAGUUUGCGUAAUCUCUUAGGAGUAGAGUGUGAAUAUCGUUGGAUCUCUGCUCUUUUACCCACUGAUUUUGCAGAUAAGAUUUGGACCCUAGCCUGUCGUACCCGAUACUCUGUACUUUCCUAACCAUUGGGCUAUUGUAAGGCCGAUUUUAAUAUUUGUAGCGAUGCGUCACAGUCGAACUGUUCCUGUGAGUGUCUGGUGCCAGCAAAGUUUCUUCUCCAUUCGCGCUCCAAAUGUUGGACAUCUUUGAGAGGAGAGCGGCUGCCAACCAGCUAAGAAAUAGUAUCUUUGUCAUACACAACACACACACACACACGCACACACGUAACUCAGUUUGUUGUCUGGGAACAAGCAUCACUUUUCGUUUACUUUUGCAGCAAUGUGGCGCAGUUGAGCGGUACCUGCGUGCAUGUGCUGUGCAUGGAGCGUGUGGGGACGAGGAUGCGAUAAUUUGAAUUGGUUUCUUGAAUGUCACAAGUCUACGACCUCCGGCAGCAGCAGUCGAUGGGAUAAAUAACAAAGCGUAACUGGUCUUUGAACGAAAUUCGAACAAAAUGCUUCUUUUGUUUCAAAUUCUCUUUUAGCACAUAUGCAUGUAGCUUUUAUGAGCCAGAUCCUACAGCUCAACCAACAACUAAAGGUAGCUGGGAAAACGGACCCCCUCUCCUUACGACACGGACAUGAUUCUACUUCCGCUUCUACGAUUGGUAUGGGCACCCAUGUUCUCGGAUAUUUCGUUCUUCUUGUAGAUUUGCAUAGAUACAUAAUCCUAUACCGAAUCAUUCUGAAACUGAAGAAUUCGUCGUAUGGACGGACAGGAGUCGUUUCGCAAUCGCUUAUCCUAUCCGAUGUGGUGGAAGAUCCAGACACAAGACUCCAGACAUCAGACACCAGACAGUUACAAAAGCUAAGACAUUGCAAUCGAAAUCAUUUCUUUCAUAUUUUGUAGAAAUAUGCCGCAGUUGAACAGUGCCUGCGCAUAUUGUGGUGUGGACUGUCCGAAAAAGGACUAGAUGCAAGGAAAUUUCGUUCAAGUCUGCGAGGGGUGGUCCGCCCAGCGUCCGCCCAAUGUAAAUCAUUUGAAAUGUGGAACAAAAUCAUUCUUUAUUUUUGUAGAGUUGUGGUUGCAGUAGACCGUGCCUGCCCACGUCUACAACUACUCGUUCGUAUUGUACAAUCGAAAAAGCAUAGCCUGGGAAUUGCCAUCGAAAUCAAGAAGGAGCAAUCGACAGCUUCAGACAGAGCCAUAUGUAUACUGGCUGUAUACUGGAUUGUCAGUCACAGUCACAGUUACAGUCACGUUACACCCGUCACACAGCGUUGGGAGCCCAGGAGAAUAAGCGUUUUUACUAAAGUUCCCCUCUCUUCUUUCCCACUGAAAAGCGCCUCAUAUUAAUGUAUUCAUUACAGUGCUGAUACCAAUCAAAAAAUCGCAAUGGUCGUGGGAUGAUCCGAUCCGAUCACACAGUUAAACUUACACGUGCACUUUCGCCUGUUCUGAUUACCUACCGUGUACAUGUAGCAAAAUUUCUUGAGGCAAUGGGAAUCAAAUGCCAACUUGAAAGCAAUAACACCAACACUUAAUCGACCGCAAUCCAACAUCCAUACAACACGUCGAAUUUGCAUUGACUCGAAGCUAAGCUCCCUAUCGACUCGAACAGCAAGGUCAGGUCUCUCAAUUCAAAUAGAACCGUUUGCACCUGUUUUUCAGCUUGUGAGAAGGUGAGGCAAGGAUGGAGUGUUUUAUAGAAGCAACUACGUUUUGGCUUGUUUGACUGGUCGGCUGCCUUGGCACAUAGGACCCUCUACCCCUCUACAGAGUGAGAACUUUUAGCGGUCUUAAAUUUCCUUUGCACUUCUUGCAGCGGUGUUUCACAGUUGAUUGUUCCUGUGCGCAUCGACUAGGUAGAAACGACACGAAACGAAACGAAAGGCAACAGCUUUGGAGUGGACAAGCUAGCGAGGGACCGGGACCGGGACCGGUCAGUUUCCAGUUUCUUGUUCUACACGGCACUCCUAGCAAGUCUUGUGUCUGCGACUGUGCCUGUGCUGCUGCUAAUCGUUAAAGGGAAUCAAAAACGAUGCAUCAAGUCCAUCCAUUAAGGCUUGUCUCAAGCAAGCAAGCCAGCAAGCAUACUAUCGCCACAACGACAACUGCUUACAUUUCACCUAAUGCUAAUGCUAAAUGCACAAAACGAGCAGAAUACAUCGAGAGAACAUCGAGUAUAGCAGCAAAACGCAAACAAGCAAGCAAGCAAGCAGCAAGGCUGUCCUGUCUCGUGCGCCUACUUUAAAAUUAGAUGUAAACUUAACGUUUCUACAUUACAGCCAAGUUGUCUGCCCAAAAUGGGCCGCUUGUGUCUCUACCAAGGGUGCACCAAGGCGCUUCCUAGCACACAACCUGUCGCCGACCGAAUCAAUCAACGCUCAGACGAGGCUAGACCAAGUUCAAGAUUGCCGACUACCGCCUGCCGCUGUCCAAAGCACGGGCACGGGCCAUGGCACGAGCACGAGCACGGGCGUCGAGAGCGAGCUGGAGACAGUCCUGCGAGCGAUGUGCUAGCCUAAGCACGUAAUGCAAUUGGCACCGCACAGAGAUGUGCGUUCGGUCCACGCUAAAGGGAAACAAAUGCGUUUGGACCGAGAGCCGCUACACCGCACCAUCACCAGCAUUCGCUGAAGAAGUGAGCUGAUGUGUUGUCGUUGUUACAGGGCUGCUGCCUGCAAGUACGCUACGGGCAUCCUAGCGUCGUCGUCGCUAAUUAAUUGUCACUUUCAGCGUUGUAUUUGAAUAACAUCCGGACAGAUCAGCAGCUAACGACGCGUAGCCAGUCGUUUAUCGCAAACGGGAACCAAUUGCGAUUAGUGUUCAAGCAUCCGAAACGGAAGAAAUGCAGCAGCCACAGUUCAGCCUGUCAGAGCUUGACGCAGAUUUGCAGAUCUCAGGAGAGAUGAAACCGCUUUUCAACGGGUUGUCGCUUCAUUUGUACUUUCCCUCCCGUAGGUAGUCCAGAAUUAGAGGUACCCAUAUUCAUCGCAAAAGGGAAUCAAAUGCGAUUAGUGUUCGAAGACCGAGCUAGCUAGCCAAUGACUACGCUACGCUCCGCCAGUUGAGCCCUUAACUCCUGGCCCUACGAUCCAACAUACCGCAAAAGGGAAUCAAAUGCGAGAUGGUACUACAGUCGAGCUCCCCGUUGAGCUCCUGGUCAAAUUCUUUACUUCUUCAGCACAGCGAUCGUAAAGGGAAUCCAAUGCGAUGUACAGCGACAGCGGCAGGCAGGGUCCCAAGGCCCUAAAGGUAUAAUAGCAGUUUUGUUGUUGGUGCAUGUACGCUUUCCAGGAACGAACGACUAUACACCCCACAUUCCCACAUCCACAUAGGAGUCAGAAAUAAUGCCCUGCUAGGUCCAGAUCCACGGCUGUGCUCUGGCCCACUCCACUUGUAUUGCCGCGCGCCUUCCUGCACACUCGUCACGUUGGUCUCAAAGGGAAUCCAAGAGACACGCGCCCGCGGUACAGGCAACUUAAACACACUCUUCUUUUGUUUUAGUUUCCUUCCAAACUCUCAUUACAGCUACUCGUAGGCGUAUGUAGGCGAUGUUAGCGCAGCUCCUAAAGACUCAUAAAGAGCGAGACUAUUCUAGGCCCACGUCCAGGAUCCAGACUGCAUUUGUAAUGCAGUUGUUAGAGCUAUCAAAUUAUGUUCUCUUUAAAUACCUUGCGUAGAUAAUGUUAAUGUUUUGUUGCCUUUAAAUUUGUUUUAAAUUUCUUAUGUAAGAUGUUAUGUUAUACUGUGACAUGUAAAUUUAAAAGCCAUGGCUGUA